GUUAGUGUCAUCUUCAUCUCUUAGGUCAAGUACUGUUCAGAGAAUAACAAGUGGCUUAUUCACUUUUCCACUUGUGAAGUAUAUGGGAAAACCAUUGGUAGCUUUCUUCCCCAAGAUAGCCCUCUACGACAGGAUCCUGCUUACUAUAUUCUCAAAGAAGACACAUCCCCUUGCAUUUUUGGCUCAAUCGAGAAACAACGAUGGUCUUAUGCAUGUGCAAAACAGUUAAUUGAGAGGUUCAUCUAUGCCGAGGGUGCUGAGAAUGGUUUGAGAAUGC